GAACGCUGGCGGCGUGCCUAAUACAUGCAAGUCGAGCGAACGGACGAGAAGCUUGCUUUUCUGAUGUUAGCGGCGGACGGGUGAGUAACACGUGGAUAACCUACCUAUAAGACUGGGAUAACUUCGGGAAACCGGAGCUAAUACCGGAUAAUAUUUUGAACCGAAUGGUUCAAAAGUGAAAGACGGUCUUGCUGUCACUUAUAGAUGGAUCCGCGCUGCAUUAGCUAGUUGGUAAGGUAACGGCUUACCAAGGCAACGAUGCAUAGCCGACCUGAGAGGGUGAUCGGCCACACUGGAACUGAGACACGGUCCAGACUCCUACGGGAGGCAGCAGUAGGGAAUCUUCCGCAAUGGGCGAAAGCCUGACGGAGCAACGCCGCGUGAGUGAUGAAGGUCUUCGGAUCGUAAAACUCUGUUAUUAGGGAAGAACAUAUGUGUAAGUAACUGUGCACAUCUUGACGGUACCUAAUCAGAAAGCCACGGCUAACUACGUG
rnacentral:rRNA from 1 species